AUGCGUUUAGGGCUCACACUGCAUACCCAAUCCCUCUGCACGGAUUUCUCUUCACUCCUAGACAUCCCAUCCACCCCCUCAUUUCCUAAUGCCACUCAUUCUUCACCUGUACUGGUUUAUUUUACAUGUAUUCAGCCGUCCAUUCUGCAGGCCGGUGCGCGCAUGCCAACACCCAUGCCCCUUUCCAAGGCAUGGGGCAGCUCCAGCUGCACGUCCGCCCGGCACCGCUGUGCCGCCCCACAGACCUGCACCUCUCAGCGCAGGCCCCGGCUUCCCGCCUGCCGGGCUUCUCCACCUGUGAGGAAAGGCCCAGCUGGUGGGUGGGUUUCUCCCCGAGUCCUGGCAAGGAACAGCUUGCCAGGGGAGCUGCACAGGUUCGGGGAGCACCUGCUCCUGCAUGGGGAGGAGGGCAGCUCCCCAGCUUCUGAGGUGUCAGCAAUUGCCCCCUGCUCCCCAAGCACUUGCACCCCACUUCCAAUGCCCGACACUGGGCUGAAGAUGGUGACCUUCCCUCUGUUACUGCGCAGAGCUCUGAGCGUAAGGGCAGGAUGGGAGCUGGGAGGGAGCCUCCAGCAUCCUCACCCUCCCUUACUAAACCAGCUGUCCCUAAAAUGCUACAGAGCCCCCCCCUUCCCACCCCACUGGCAGCCCCCUACCUCCUUACUGAAGGCAGUCUUUUGGCUCUUCCUGAUGGCUCCCUGCCAGGUUACUGCCUCUGGGGCUCGUGGGAGUGCUCUGGGAUCCAGGACGGGUGCUUCCAGGGCCUUGGGAUCCAGGAUGGGUGCCUCCAGGGCACUGGGAACCCAGGCACAUGACUCCAGGGCCAUGAGAUGCAGGACAGGUGCUGCUAGGGCCUUGGGAUCCAGAACAGGUGCCUCCAGGGCACUGGAAAGCAGGACAGAUGCCUCCAGGGCCACGGGAUCCAGGACAGGUGCCUCUAGGGCCUUGCGAUCCCAGACAGGUGCCUCCAGGGCCUUCGGAUCCAGCCUUGGGAUCCAGGACAGGUGCUGCCAGGACCUCGGGUCCCUCAGAGGGACCGUGCCUGUGGCUGAGCUAAAAGCACGCCGAAGGCCAGCACAGGACAGGCAGUUUUGCCCCUCAGAAUUUGAAAAUUAG
rnacentral:lncRNA from 1 species